rnacentral:rRNA from 1 species
ACGAACGCUGGCGGCGUGCUUAACACAUGCAAGUCGAACGGUGAAGCGCCUUCCUUUUUGGUGGGUGUGGAUGAGUGGCGAACGGGUGAGUAACACGUGAGUAACCUGCCCCCUUCUUCUGGAUAACCGCAUGAAAGUGUGGCUAAUACGGGAUAUUCUGGGUCUGUCGCAUGAUGGGUCUGGGAAAGAUAUUGUUUCGGUGGGGGAUGGGCUCGCGGCCUAUCAGCUUGUUGGUGGGGUGAUGGCCUACCAAGGCGGUGACGGGUAGCCGGCCUGAGAGGGUGGACGGUCACACUGGGACUGAGACACGGCGCAGACUCCUACGGGAGGCAGCAGUGGGGAAUAUUGCACAAUGGGGGCAAGCCUGAUGCAGCGACGCCGCGUGAGGGAUGGAGGCCUUCGGGUUGUGAACCUCUUUCGCCAGUGAAGCAGGCCUGCCUCGUUUGUGGGUGGGUUGACGGUAGCUGGAUAAGAAGCGCCGGCUAACUACGUG